CACGGAGGGUACAAGUGUUAUUCAACGUGAUUGGGCGUAAAGGGUACGUAGACGGUUCGGUGUGUUUUGAUUUAAAGGGCAUGGUUUAACCGUGGUGAAUUUGAAAAUACUACUGGGACUUGAGUAAUAUCGAGGAAGGUGGAUUUCUUGGAGGAGAAGUGAAAUACGACUGUAGCUUCAAGGGGGCCCAGCAAGAGGCGAAAGGCAACUUUCCAGAUAAGACUGAC
rnacentral:rRNA from 1 species